rnacentral:rRNA from 1 species
CGGGACGGGGUGAGUAAUGUCUGGGAAACUGCCUGAUGGAGGGGGAUAACUACUGGAAACGGUAGCUAAUACCGCAUAACGUCGCAAGACCAAAGAGGGGGACCUUCGGGCUCUUGCCAUCGGAUGUGCCCAGAUGGGAUUAGCUAGUAGGUGGGGUAACGGCUCACCUAGGCGACGAUCCCUAGCUGGUCUGAGAGGAUGACCAGCCACACUGGAACUGAGACACGGUCCAG